GUCUUGUCCCCCCCCCCUGCCCCGCCACCGAUGGGCACGGUUGGUUGCGUACGGCGCGAAAGAAGUUCAACGCGCGUACGUUGGGACGGUGGUUUGAAUACGAGCGGCGAUCACACACAACGGACAGGGUGGCCCGCGGGGAAAGUUUACCCCCUCAGCGCCGAGGUCUUGAGACUGCCCGUUGCAAGUCGUUUGAGCAUUACAGCUCCGCUGUGGGCAGCGCGGCGCUCGGAAUGGACAAGCGCCGGUUUCGAAGGGAAUCUCUUCGGUCAAGAAAUCGUCCACGCCGCACAUGUGACGUCUCGCAGACUCCGAGGCACGCUUGGGGGGCACGAGGCCAACUCUGCCUGCCAAGAGCUGCAGCGGAGGCUGUGGAAUUCUCACAGGAUGGGGCUGAGCCGCAGCACGCCUCUGCGAAAACCACGCCGUUGGCUGCAGCGUUCAUCACCGGCCACGUGAUUUUCCAUCUCGCUUGGCUCCCUUUUGACGUUGGCUUCUGAGACGAACUCAUGGUGUUGUGAGCGGUGUCUGGGUCUUAUUAAAGUCUCCUCCCGUUACACAGAUCCCCGUGUGCGUCACUGCAACGUGGUCCGUUCCCAGUCACUGGAUGAUUUCCAUCUUUGCCUCCAAGUUGAGGGCGACACUUCUCCUGUCGCUUGG